UAGAAAGCCAGGGAGAUCUGAAGUCCUCUGUUUAUCCAGAGAACAGGCAUAACAUAGGCAGUGACAAUGUGAGCUCUCACUACCCUGCCAAUAUGCAUCAGUUUUGACCUGGAGGGACCACUGCUCUGGCUGAGAGCGUUUAAUUCCCAGAGCCCAUUUUGUCCGGGGCCUCU
ensembl:misc_RNA